rnacentral:rRNA from 1 species
AAAUUUAGAAAAUAGUUUGACUAAUUAAAAUAACGGAAAAAUUUUUAUUUGGAGUAAAACAUUCGAAAAAUAAUUCCACAAUAUCCGAAAGGGGUCUUAGAAUAUAAAAAUAGGAUUUAUUUAACAAGUUCCUUUUGUAUCAGGAUAACAGGAAUAAAAUUCGUAAGGAUAAUUUCCCGAAUAGAAAAGAUCUUUCCCAAGACUAAUCUUUUUGUUGCAGUAAAGACUUCAAUCUUUAGAAAGUAGUGAAAAGUGAUUCGGUUUUCUUUUAUCUGGUUUCUUAUUCCGACCGAUUUAAUCGGACUCUCUUUCUUUAAUGGGGGGUAGGGGGGAGAAACCUAAAGGGCUAAGCUUUUAGGACUUAAAGAUAUAUUCCUUCUUUCCAUCUCAGUCACUGGAACUAAUUUGGUGAGAUUAAAAAUUUGAAAUUUCUUUCUUUAAGAAGAGGAAAAGAAAUUCUUUGUAACAUAUUUCUGGAAAAUACAAUCUGCUAAUGAGUAAAGUUGAAAUAUUUUAUAUUAGGAAUUCGGCAAAUACAGAGGCUGCUUGUUUAAUAAAAACAUCUCCUUUUGGAUGAAUAAAAGGUAGGUCCUGCCCACUGCUAUACAGUUAAAGGCCGCAGUAUCUUGACUGUGCUAAGGUAGCAAAAUAAUUUGGCUCUUUAUUGGAGUCUGGAAUGAAUGGAUUGACAGGCUUCUUACUUUCUUAGGUAAAAUUCUUGAAAUUCAAGUUCUAGUAAAAAUUCUAGAAUGAUUAAGAGGGACGAAAAGACCCUGUAGAUCUCUACCUCCUUUAUCAGAGGUUCUUUGGGAUGAAGCCUAACCUAAGGGAACAAUGGAAACUCUAAAGAAUGAUUUUUCUAUCAAAAUGAACUCUCAAACAGAAAAAUAGAAAAAGAUACCUCAGGGAUAACAGCAUAAUCUCUUUUUUCAGACCAUAUGAGAGAAGAGGAUUGUGACCUCGAUGUUGAAUUAAGAUUUUCUUUUCUAAGUAGAAAUAGUUAGAGAAAGUCUGUUCGACUUUUAAAGUCUUACAUGAUUUGAGUUUAGACCGACGAAAGUCAGGUCGGAUUCUAUCUUCUUGAUAAGAUUAGUUUUUUUGUACGAAAGGACUAAAGACUAGGACUUGGUCUU